ACACCUCAACUCUCAUGGUUUGCCAUGUUGAGCUUGGACUAUGGGGGUCUUGCUGGCCUGUGGUCGGCUCCUCUCAAAUGAAUCAGCUUACCAGUGUUUGGUGGCAUCACAGGUGUGAUAACUAUCUACGCUUGUGGUUUUCCACCAGGUAACCUUCAGCAAUGGAGGUUCGCUGGGGCUCAUAAAUGUCUCUCCUCGGUGAGGACAGCUCUUUGAAC
rnacentral:misc_RNA from 1 species